rnacentral:tRNA from 1 species
GGGGUUGUGGCUCAGUGGUAGAGCAUUCGCUUAGCAUGUGUGAGGCAUUAGGUUCAAUUCUCAGCACCA